rnacentral:tRNA from 1 species
GGACCGUUAGCUCAGUAGGUCAGAGCAACCAUUUAUGAAUUUUUUAUAGGGACGUAUCCCCUCAAGCUUAUACCUUGUAGAAAGGGUAAUCGGUCGCAUGUGGGUUCAAUCCCCAUCGUCCCUA